AGCUUGCUUUUGAUGCUUAGUGGCGGACGGGUGAGUAACGCGUGAGCAACCUGCCUUUCAGAGGGGGAUAACGUUUGGAAACGAACGCUAAUACCGCAUAACAUAUUUCAGUCGCAUGAAUGAGAUAUCAAAGGAGCAAUCCGCUGAAAGAUGGGCUCGCGUCCGAUUAGCUAGUUGGCGGGAUAACAGCCCACCAAGGCGACGAUCGGUAGCCGGCCUGAGAGGGCGGACGGCCACAUUGGGACUGAGACACGGCCCAAACUCC
rnacentral:rRNA from 1 species